UGACUGUAGGAUGUUCCACGUUCGGAAG
rnacentral:piRNA from 1 species